GACGAACGCUGGCGGCGUGCUUAACACAUGCAAGUCGAACGGAAAGGCCCUGCUUUUUUGUGGUGCUCGCGUGGCGAACGUGUGAGUAACACGUGAGUCUCCCUCCCUUUACUUUGGGAUAACUUCAGGAAACUGGUGCUACUACCUGAUAGGAGCUCCUGCUGCUUGGUGGGGUUUGGACCGUUUCGGCUGUUGUGGAUGGACUCGCGGCUUAUCAGCUUGUUGGUGGGGUAGUUGCUUACCAAGGCUUUGACGGGUAGCCGGCCUGAGAGGGUGACCGGCCACAUUGGGACUGAGAUACGGCGCAGACUCCUACGGGAGGCAGCAGUGGGGAGUAUUGCACAAUGGGCGGAAGCCUGAUGCAGAAACGCCGCGAGCGGGAUGAAGGCCUUCGGGUUGUAAACCGCUGUCGCCUGUGACGAAGCGUGAGUGACGGUAAUGGGUAAAGAAGCACCGGCUAACUACGUG
rnacentral:rRNA from 1 species